rnacentral:lncRNA from 1 species
CUCUUUGGAAGCACGGCGGCAGCAACGUGGAGAUUGUGCGCAGACUGAAUCAGGUCAUUCGCCACAUCGGCUGCCUGCCAUUGACAGAAGGCUGAUCUUUCCAGGUUCCUACUCCACGCACCUGACAUAAGCAACAGCUACAGCUGCUCAGACGUGGUUGACACAGCCUCUGAAUCACUCGCUGGGCUGAGGACAGAAAACUGCGGGGCAGCAGGUAGUGGGUGUGGCAGAAGUCAACUGAAGCAGAGAAGCAGAGUUUGACAGACCCAAGGAGGGGGCAGUGCCCCCCCCCCCCCAACCCUCCUCCACGAAGAAUCGUGUAUCUAGGCUUGGUUGGAGGAUGAACAGAGUUGUCCUUGCUGCUGUUUGUGGAGGCUUUGUGUGCUUUGCAGAGUGGCGGCCCCCCGCAGCAUGCCCGAUGCCAUGGUCCUCCUGAUGCUGAGCCAGGCUAGUAUGAGAAGGAGGCUUCUGACUCAUCCAAUGACAAUGGUGGAGAGUGCCAUCAGCAGAGCGGAAAAGGGAACUCAAGAGAGAGAGAGUAAGGAGGAGUCCAUUCUGGCACUCCUGGGCAUCAUUGGGACCAUUCUCAACCUGAUCGUCAUCAUCUUCGUGUACAUCUAUACCACACUGUGAGAAGGUCUACAAUAAGUCCCUCUACAGCUCAUCAAGAUUUUGGGUUGCUCAUGGUUUUGCCCUGGUUUUUUCACCGUCAUUUGCCAAUGGCUGCCUUUAGCUAGCAGUGUAGAGUUGCAAUAACAAACCACGUUGCAAGUAAAUCUGAAACAAUUUCAUCUAUACCUUACUGUUUCCAUCUAAGAAUGCAGGGUAAACUUCCCAAACAACCGUGAACACAUUCAAAGAGAAAACACUGCAGGCAUAGUGGUCUGAUCUAGUAAAAGGUGAUCUCAGACCACUUCAGGUAGCCAUUUACAUGUUGGAGACAUGGACACUUAGACGUGACAUCUGUCAAGAAAAGAAUUCUUGAAGGGCAAAAAGUAUUUUGACAGUUGACACAAGACAAACAGGUUGGAUAAGAUUUCAGUGGGAGAUCUUAUUACUACUGACAGAGGAUUGCAGGUUAUUCAUUUUUUCUAACAACUUACCUUGAAUAUGUUGCGCAACAUUUAUAAAAAAUACUUUGAUAUUUUAAAAGUUUAUUUCAUAUGAAAAGCAAAGGAUAUUUUUGUCAUGCCAGCAUUUUGCCAUUGUUAAUGUGAUCCAAAAAAUCAGCAGGUUUUUUUUAAGUCCCUCUUCACUCUGUCCUGUUUGCAACUAAUUGAAAUGUGUGUGUGUGUGUUUAAUAUUUUAAAGCAAUUUUAUGACUGAGUGUGGAGAAAUGUGUGUAUAUUGUGCUUGAAGAUGACAUCCUGUUUGUAAUAAAAAUCCAGUGAUUAAUGUAUUGCCUUAAAAC